AUUGAACGCUGGCGGCAGGCCUAACACAUGCAAGUCGAACGGUAACAGGAAGCAGCUUGCUGCUUUGCUGACGAGUGGCGGACGGGUGAGUAAUGUCUGGGAAACUGCCUGAUGGAGGGGGAUAACUACUGGAAACGGUAGCUAAUACCGCAUAACGUCGCAAGACCAAAGAGGGGGACCUUAGGGCCUCUUGCCAUCGGAUGUGCCCAGAUGGGAUUAGCUAGUAGGUGGGGUAACGGCUCACCUAGGCGACGAUCCCUAGCUGGUCUGAGAGGAUGACCAGCCACACUGGAACUGAGACACGGUCCAGACUCCUACGGGAGGCAGCAGUGGGGAAUAUUGCACAAUGGGCGCAAGCCUGAUGCAGCCAUGCCGCGUGUAUGAAGAAGGCCUUCGGGUUGUAAAGUACUUUCAGCGGGGAGGAAGGGAGUAAAGUUAAUACCUUUGCUCAUUGACGUUACCCGCAGAAGAAGCACCGGCUAACUCCGUGCCAGCAGCCGCGGUAAUACGGAGGGUGCAAGCGUUAAUCGGAAUUACUGGGCGUAAAGCGCACGCAGGCGGUUUGUUAAGUCAGAUGUGAAAUCCCCGGGCUCAACCUGGGAACUGCAUCUGAUACUGGCAAGCUUGAGUCUCGUAGAGGGGGGUAGAAUUCCAGGUGUAGCGGUGAAAUGCGUAGAGAUCUGGAGGAAUACCGGUGGCGAAGGCGGCCCCCUGGACGAAGACUGACGCUCAGGUGCGAAAGCGUGGGGAGCAAACAGGAUUAGAUACCCUGGUAGUCCACGCCGUAAACGAUGUCGACUUGGAGGUUGUGCCCUUGAGGCGUGGCUUCCGGAGCUAACGCGUUAAGUCGACCGCCUGGGGAGUACGGCCGCAAGGUUAAAACUCAAAUGAAUUGACGGGGGCCCGCACAAGCGGUGGAGCAUGUGGUUUAAUUCGAUGCAACGCGAAGAACCUUACCUGGUCUUGACAUCCACGGAAGUUUUCAGAGAUGAGAAUGUGCCUUCGGGAACCGUGAGACAGGUGCUGCAUGGCUGUCGUCAGCUCGUGUUGUGAAAUGUUGGGUUAAGUCCCGCAACGAGCGCAACCCUUAUCCUUUGUUGCCAGCGGUCCGGCCGGGAACUCAAAGGAGACUGCCAGUGAUAAACUGGAGGAAGGUGGGGAUGACGUCAAGUCAUCAUGGCCCUUACGACCAGGGCUACACACGUGCUACAAUGGCGCAUACAAAGAGAAGCGACCUCGCGAGAGCAAGCGGACCUCAUAAAGUGCGUCGUAGUCCGGAUUGGAGUCUGCAACUCGACUCCAUGAAGUCGGAAUCGCUAGUAAUCGUGGAUCAGAAUGCCACGGUGAAUACGUUCCCGGGCCUUGUACACACCGCCCGUCACACCAUGGGAGUGGGUUGCAAAAGAAGUAGGUAGCUUAACCUUCGGGAGGGCGCUUACCACUUUGUGAUUCAUGACUGGGGUGAAGUCGUAACAAGGUA
rnacentral:rRNA from 1 species